UAUGGGUGAAAACACUUUUAACAAAAUCACCCUAAAAAACAUAUUCUUCUCUUCUGUAAAAGCCCAAAUCCGAAAUUCGCUCGAUUCAUACGUUACAUCGUAAUCCAAAUCCAAACAUCAUUGAAUCUUCCGCCCCCUUUUCCGUUUUUCGUCACAAAAAUGUCCUCCAGCGGCGUCACGGUGGCGGAAGGCGGCCCGCAGAUGUUCUUCUGCCACCAAUGCGAGCGCACCGUCAACAUCACCCCCUCCCCCGCCGGCGACAUCCUCUGCCCCUCCUGCAACUCCGGCUUCGUCGAAGAAUUCCAAAACCCUAACCCUACCCCCGCCCCCGACCCCUUCCUCUCCGAUCCCCUCUCCCUCUUCCUCUCCCAAUUCCUCCCUUCCGCAACAACAGCAAACCCUAGCCCUCUCUCCCGCCCGCCCACGGCCGCCCCUGAGUCCUCCUUGGGCCAGGAUGCCUUCGACCCGGUUCUCUACCUCAUGAACCUCCUCGCCAAUCGCCGCGCCAGCGGCAUUGACUAUCAGUUCGUCUUCGACGACCAUCCGUCGCCUGCUUCCGGAUUCCCUCUCUCCACGAACCUCGGCGACUAUUUCAUGGGCCCUGGAUUCGAGCAGUUGAUCCAGCAAUUGUCCGAGAACGAUCCCAAUCGUUACGGCACGCCUCCGGCCUCCAAGUCUGCUGUCCAGGCGCUGCCGAGCGUGACUGUGGACGAGGGCAUGCUGAAAUCGGACUUGGCGCAGUGUGCGGUGUGCAAGGAUGAUUUGGAAUUGGGGACUGUUGUCAAGCAGAUGCCUUGCAAGCAUGUUUAUCACGAUGAUUGCAUUCUGCCCUGGCUGGAGCUGCAUAAUUCGUGCCCUGUGUGUCGCUAUGAGCUUCCUACUGAUGAUGCGGACUAUGAGAGCAGGAAUGGAGCUUCUCGGGGGAGCAGCGGUGGGGAUGGGGAUGCGGCUGGGGGUUCUGAUGGGCAGAGGACUGUGGAGAGGAGGAUGACCAUAUCAUUUCCUUGGCUGUUUGGAGGAUCAGAUUCAGGUCGUGAAGGUGGCGGCCGGAACAAUCAGUGGCAGAGUUAAACGUGUUUAUAUGCCAAGUUUGCCUUAAGAUAUGUACCAAGCUCAUCUUUAAUAGUUAAAUAUCGUGAGAUAGUGCUGCCAUGAAGAUGCAAUGGUGCCUAAUCUUUUGUGAUGUGGAUGAAGCUGAUAGCUUAUUUGCGCUUGAUGGAGAACAAUGUUUGUGCUUGUAACGAAGGAUAGAUUGAGGGGUUACUUGCAUGAUUACAUAAUAACCAUCAGUUUGUGUUUUUUUUUGUUACAUAUUCUUACUCAAGUAAACUCAGCACGUUUCAUGCCAUUUUUGUAUAGUGAAAUCUCUUUAAUCAUGUUAAA